AACGCACAUUGCGCCCGGUAGUAAUCUGCCGGGCAUGCCUGUCCGAGCGUCAUUUCUCCCCUCGAGCGCGGCUUCACGGCCUGUCGCCCGGUGUUGGGGCGCUACGGUGGAGCCCCGCGCUCCCCCCGUAGGCCCCGAAAUGUAGUGGCGGUCCCGCCGCGGCGCCCCCUGCGUAGUAGUCUUACAACUCGCAUCGGGACCCGGCGGAGGCCAGCCGUCAAACCCCCAACUUCAAUAGUUUGACCUCGGAUCAGGUAGGGUUACCCGCUGAACUUAA
rnacentral:misc_RNA from 1 species